UCCUCCCUCUUUCUUCGUGCUUAACACAUGCAAGUCGAACGGAAAGGCCCUGCUUUUGUGGGGUGCUCGAGUGGCGAACGGGUGAGUAACACGUGAGUAACCUGCCCUUGACUUUGGGAUAACUUCAGGAAACUGGGGCUAAUACCGGAUAGGAGCUCCUGCUGCAUGGUGGGGGUUGGAAAGUUUCGGCGGUUGGGGAUGGACUCGCGGCUUAUCAGCUUGUUGGUGGGGUAGUGGCUUACCAAGGCUUUGACGGGUAGCCGGCCUGAGAGGGUGACCGGCCACAUUGGGACUGAGAUACGGCCCAGACUCCUACGGGAGGCAGCAGUGGGGAAUAUUGCACAAUGGGCGGAAGCCUGAUGCAGCAACGCCGCGUGCGGGAUGACGGCCUUCGGGUUGUAAACCGCUUUCGCCUGUGACGACGCGUGAGUGACGGUAAUGGGUAAAGAAGCACCGGCUAACUACGUG
rnacentral:rRNA from 1 species